CCAGCCCAGCCCAGCCCAGCCCAGCCCAGCCCAGGCGGCUUUCCCGCGGCUGCCUGCUUAUUAUCAAUAUUCUGUAACGAGGAAAAACCACACCCGCAUUAGCAAGACCAAUAAGGGAACUUACACAAAUGCGGCUGUUUGGAUUUCACCCAGGGGAAGGGCUUCUUUUGGCCAGGAAACUGGCCUGAUUGGAAACUGCGAUAUGUCAAAAUCGAGGUUAAGCCCAGGAUAAAUCCAGAUCUCUUUUCUCGAGGUUGGGAGGAGACCGCCCUCCGCACUGAGCCGCAAGUGGGGAAAGCACCGGGAGCGGAGAGCCUCUUCUCUUGUGUCAGUUGUCCAACGCCCGGCACAAUUUAGGUCAACAUUUCGAUGAUAUUCAAAUAAUCUAUUCGCCUGCCUGUGGAAUUAUCACCAGGUGCCUCACUCCUAGCCUCGGACAGGAUGCAUCUGGUCUUGGAGUGGAAGGGAAGGGAAUUCACGUGGAUUGUGUCCCCAGCCUGGGCCACAGGCUAGAUGAGAAAAUUCAGACCAAGAUUACAGUCAGCAGCAUGCAGGGACGAGAACAUCGGCAGUCUCGUUCUGGAAUCUGGACCCAUGAUGUGAAUAUGAUACUCUAACUGCCCUUAGUUCCCUUACUAUGUAGUUGAGGAGAUAAAAAAAACAUACAAAAGUUCAAAGAAAACUAAGAGGACAAGAGAAUUUAGAAGUGCUAAAUAUGUGUCACGGGUAAUAAAUGCAACGAAGUUUCUGAGUACAGAAGAACUGCCUUACGUUGACGUGGUUGGGAAGACUCACACAGAAGAUGAUCCUGGGCUUCCAAAAGACAAAAAAAAAAGGAAGCUGGAUAAUGAUGAGGAAUAGUAUUUUGAUAAACCAAGAGGAUGGG